CAGGACGAACGCUGGCGGCGUGCCUAAUACAUGCAAGUCGAACGGUCUUUCUAUGGAAGCUUGCUUCCACUGAGAAGAUAGUGGCGAACGGGUGAGUAACAACGUGGGUAACCUGCCCAUAAGAGGGGGAUAACAUCCGGAAACGGGUGCUAAUACCGCAUAGUUUUCUUGAUCGCAUGAUCGGGAAAGGAAAGACGGCCUUUGUGCUGUCGCUUAUGGAUGGACCCGCGGCGUAUUAGUUAGUUGGUGAGGUAACGGCUCACCAAGACGAUGAUACGUAGCCGACCUGAGAGGGUGAUCGGCCACAUUGGGACUGAGACACGGCCCAAACUCCUACGGGAGGCAGCAGUAGGGAAUCUUCCGCAAUGGACGAAAGUCUGACGGAGCAACGCCGCGUGAGUGAAAGAAGGUUUUCGGAUCGUAAAACUCUGUUGUCAGAGAAGAACAAGUUGGAGAGUAACUGCUCCAGCCUUGACGGUAUCUGACCAGAAAGCCACGGCUAACUACGUGCCAGCCGCCGC
rnacentral:rRNA from 1 species